ACUAACAAGGAUUCCCCUAGUAACUGCGAGUGAAGCGGGAAAAGCUCAAAUUUAAAAUCUGGCGGUCUCUGGCCGUCCGAGUUGUAAUCUAGAGAAGUAAUGCCCGUGCUGGACCGUGUAUAAGUCUCCUGGGAUGGAGCGUCAUAGAGGGUGAGAAUCCCGUCUUUGACACGGACUACCAGUGCAUUGUGGUAUGCUCUCAAAGAGUCGAGUUGUUUGGGAAUGCAGCUCAAAAUGGGUGGUAAAUUCCAUCUAAAGCUAAAUAUUGGCGAGAGACCGAUAGCGAACAAGUACCGUGAGGGAAAGAUGAAAAGAACUUUGGAAAGAGAGUUAAACAGUACGUGAAAUUGCUGAAAGGGAAACGCUUGAAGUCAGUCGCGUUGGCCAGGGAUCAGCCUUGCUUUUGCAUGGUGUACUUUCUGGUUGACGGGUCAGCAUCAAUUUUGACCGCUGGAAAAGGGCCUGGGGAAUGUGGCAGCUUCGGCUGUGUUAUAGCCCCUGGUCGCAUACAGUGGUUGGGAUUGAGGAACUCAGCACGCCGCAAGGCCGGGUUUCGACCACGUUCGUGCUUAGGAUGCUGGCAUAAUGGCUUUAAGCGACCCGUCUUGAAACACGGACCAAGGAGUCUAACAUGCCUGCGAGUAUUUGGGUGGAAAACCCAAGUGCGUAAUGAAAGUGAAAGUUGAGAUCCCUGUCGUGGGGAGCAUCGACGCCCGGACCAGAACUUUUGGGACGGAUCCGCGGUGGAGCAUGUAUGUUGGGACCCGAAAGAUGGUGAACUAUGCCUGAAUAGGGUGAAGCCAGAGGAAACUCUGGUGGAGGCUCGUAGCGAUUCUGACGUGCAAAUCGAUCGUCAAAUUUGGGUAUAGGGGCGAAAGACUAAUCG
rnacentral:rRNA from 1 species